rnacentral:rRNA from 1 species
UACGUAGGGGGCUAGCGUUGUCCGGAAUCAUUGGGCGUAAAGCGCGUGUAGGCGGUCCGGUAAGUCCGCUGUGAAAGUCGGGGGGCUCAACCCUCGGAUGCCGGUGGAUACUGUCGGGCUUGAGUACGGAAGAGGCGAGUGGAAUUCCUGGUGUAGCGGUGGAAUGCGCAGAUAUCAGGAAGAACACCAACGGCGAAGGCAGCUCGCUGGGACGGUACUGACGCUGAGGCGCGAAAGCGUGGGGAGCAAACAGG